GGCCGAGCAGGUGGCGAGCUGUAAACUCGUCUACGGGGUCCCAAGCCCCCCCCACCAA
rnacentral:tRNA from 1 species